rnacentral:rRNA from 1 species
GGACUACUAGGGUUUCUAAUCCUGUUUGAUCCCCACGCUUUCGUGCCUCAGCGUCAAUGUCUGCUUAGAGAGCUGCCUUCGCUAUCGGUGUUCUAUGUCAUAUCUAUGCAUUUCACCGCUACAUGACAUAUUCCGCCCUCCUCAACAGAAUUCAAGACAAAUAGUAUCAAUGGCAGUUUUCCCGUUAAGCGGAAAGAUUUCACCACUGACUUAAUUGCCCGCCUACACACCCUUUAAACCCAGUAAAUCCGGAUAACGCUUGCACCCUCCGUAUUACCGCGGCGGCUGGCAC